GACGAACGCUGGCGGCGUGCUUAACACAUGCAAGUCGAACGGAAAGGCCCUGCUUUUGUGGGGUGCUCGAGUGGCGAACGGGUGAGUAACACGUGAGUAACCUGCCCUUGACUUUGGGAUAACUUCAGGAAACUGGGGCUAAUACCGGAUAGGAGCUCCUGCUGCAUGGUGGGGGUUGGAAAGUUUCGGCGGUUGGGGACGGACUCGCGGCGUAUCAGCUUGUUGGUGGGGUAGUGGCUUACCAAGGCUUUGACGGGUAGCCGGCCUGAGAGGGUGACCGGCCACAUUGGGACUGAGAUACGGCCCAGACUCCUACGGGAGGCAGCAGUGGGGAAUAUUGCACAAUGGGCGGAAGCCUGAUGCAGCAACGCCGCGUGCGGGAUGACGGCCUUCGGGUUGUAAACCGCUUUCGCCUGUGACGAAGCGUGAGUGACGGUAAUGGGUAAAGAAGCACCGGCUAACUACGUG
rnacentral:rRNA from 1 species